GAGGCGGUAGUUCAGACUGGGAGAACACACGAUUGAAGACCGUGAUGUCGAGGGUUCAAAUCCCUCUCGCCUCA
rnacentral:tRNA from 1 species